ensembl:lncRNA
AUUUCUGUGUGAGUGUGUAUAUAUGUGUGUGUGUGUGUGUGUGUGAGAGUGUAUGUGAGAGUGUGUGUAGGCAACCCUGUCAGGCUGGCUGGAGUGUUAGUGAUGGCUGGCUAGAGGGGGCCCGGCCGGGCCCUAAUUGGGGCUGUGUGGAGUAUCGGUGGCCGCCUGAACGCUGGUGCUGAUUGCUGAGAGCAGGUGGUCGCAGUGGCAGCUCCACGCAGGCACUCCAAGGCCAGCCUGUCUGCUCUCAUCAGGACCCGCAACACUGAGCAGACAGCUCCGCUCACACACACACACACACACCCAUUCACACACACAUACACACACACCCUGCACCCACAACCUCCCCAACAAACCCCCUAAUCUACCCCCCCCCCUCACCCCUCCUGUAAAACCUUUCCUGCUCCACUCUCAUUACCCAAGCCUGCCCACCCCGUUGCUUGGCAACGCACACUCUGCCCCUCCAAAACACUUCCUGCGAGAGGAGAGGUCCUAUCGGUCGCCUCUGUGGGUCGCCACUGUGGGUCGCCCGUGUGGCCGCGGGGGCUGUGCUGUGCUGUGCAGACGGCCCUGCUCUCUAAAGGGGUCUUGAGGCAGAUCUCCACAACUCCGACCAGACCAGGUUCGUGUUUAGAUGUGAAAAAAGAAAGGAUAGGAAAAGAAAAAAAGAAAGGAGAGAAAAGACCAGGAAAUAAAGCAGAAAAAUGUAACGAAAAGAGAGAACCACAAAGCCUCGGAGCAAACGACGAGGAAGACAAGAGAGGACUGGAGAGACAAGAGAGGACUGGUAAGACCUGGACUCUGCCUCUCCCGCUGUCUCUCUCCCGCUGUCUCCUGCCCCUCCUGGAGGCGUCUCCCCGUGAAGCGUGCCUCUCUCCAGACAUGCCGGGACUGGAAGUCACACUCCAUGACUGCCGUUUGCGAUCGAGAUCUGCCGCGAUAAGGGCUUGUUGAACACAUACACGGGAGUUGUUUAAGAUCUUGAAAGCAUUCUUGUCAAAUCUGCAGCCAUCACCCUUUGGCAGAGAUCUCUCUGCACCAG